AUUGAACGCUGGCGGCAUGCUUUACACAUGCAAGUCGAACGGUAACAGGCCGCAAGGUGCUGACGAGUGGCGAACGGGUGAGUAAUGCAUCGGAACGUGCCCAGUCGUGGGGGAUAACUACUCGAAAGAGUAGCUAAUACCGCAUACGAUCUAUGGAUGAAAGCGGGGGACCGUAAGGCCUCGCGCGAGUGGAGCGGCCGAUGUCAGAUUAGGUAGUUGGGGGGGUAAAGGCUCACCAAGCCAACGAUCUGUAGCUGGACUGAGAGGACAACCAGCCACACUGGGACUGAGACACGGCCCAGACUCCUACGGGAGGCAGCAGUGGGGAAUUUUGGCCAAUGGGCGCAAGCCUGAUCCAGCAAUGCCGCGUGCAGGAAGAAGGCCUUCGGGUUGUAAACUGCUUUUGUACGGAACGAAACGGCUCUGGUUAAUACCCGGGGCUAAUGACGGUACCGUAAGAAUAAGCACCGGCUAACUACGUG
rnacentral:rRNA from 1 species